GAAAGUUUGGCAUAUUGAAAAGAAACUGCAAAGACUACACAUGAAUUCAAGGAAUUCAACUUUGAAUGAAUUAAAUUCGAAUAAAAGAAGAUAUACGUAUCUCUCUUUAUGUGCUGCUAUCACUUCUUUCUUCUUCCCCCAAUCUCUCUGUUAUGUUUCUCUUUUUUAUUCAUAGUAUUUCUUUUGUAUAAUCUCUAUUUGAACUACAACUCUUCUGAUGAUUUGUUUGUAUUUUAGUUGCAGGUUAAACUUUCAUUCAUAAAGUGUUCGUUGAUUUGCCUGAAAGAAAAGAAUGGUUGAACUUCAUCCUGAAACUGUUUGAUGAUUUGUUCAAGAGAACAAGAUCGAUGAAUAUAUCGCUAUUUAGGUAACUUUUGUAUGUGACUGUGUGGGUUUUGAUUAGUAAGUUGAUUAUGUUGUGUAUGCUUAUACUUUUA